rnacentral:misc_RNA from 1 species
AUUCCGUAGGUGAACCUGCGGAAGGAUCAUUACAAAUCGGGUUGUGGGGGGGGUGUUGUUGGGUGGAGUGGGGGGGGAGGAUGGUGGAGGUUUUGGCUUUGGCCGAGGCUUUCGCUGUUCUCUCUCUACUCUCUACUCUACUCUCUACUCUCUCACCCAACCAACAUAUGCACAGGGUCGCAAGACUCUGAUGUUUACGCUUGUAUGUUUGACUGUAUCAUGAGACACUAAAUAUAGACAACUUUAAACAAUGGAUCUCUUGGCUCUU